CGUAAUUUGGGUGAUAUAAAUUAUAAAGUAACAUUUUAUUUUUCAAAAAGAAUUCUUCAAUAAAUAUAAGAUUCUUUAAGUUCAGCAUUUUUGGGUGCCUUGCGAUUGCAAACUAAUAGUGUUGUAACAGCUUUAUAGUUAAUUCACUAAAUUUGGAUUUAUUUUCGUUUGAAGGAGAAUGUACUAUGAAUCGGGAGAAUCUAGCUCAGAUGAUGCUUCGGAAAAUGACCUAUCAAGUUUAAAUAGCAAAUCCAGCAUCCUGGAACGUAUAAGGAAUGACCACAAGUAUAACAAGGAUUCAUGUGAGCGAGCUCUAGCCUGUUUGGGACGCUUACCAACUGCAGAAAAUAAGGAAACAAUACGCCGCAUUGCAAAACUAGAGGGACUACGUCCGCAGCAGGUAAGGGAAACGCUUAUGCCCUUCCCUUAUUUCAAAAGGCCAAAUAAGUUAAGAAAAAAAUUAAAGAAAAGAAAUCGAAAGGGCGCUAACGGAAAAAAGAAGAAAAAAAAAGUCAGAAAGCUGCUGGGUAAUACAGAGAAACGUCGUCGAAAUCUUCGGCGAUAGAAUACACAGACGUAUCUAAUUGAUAUUGUCAGUGGCUGUGGACUCGGAAAAUAAAACAUUGACCUAUUUUAUACCUUCAGUCACUGACGACGAAAAAGCAGCCACAAUUACCGAUUUAUCUAUGUUAUAAGAGUAAACCUGGUAUUAGUAUUUGACAUCACUUGCUCUUUUAAUGGCACUACCGCAAGUAAAUCGUCUAAAGACAAAACAGAGCGAAGGUGAAGCGGUAAACUUGGCGACCAGCUGUGAACCCUUAAUUUAGACUGAUAUUGUGAUAUUUGAAUAAAGUGAAAUAUCAUAAGUCAUUCGUAUUGCUUAGAAAACUUGGCACCAAAUAUCAUCUUUUAGUGACUUUCAAUCGAUGGUUAGUUCAUUGAUGUGUGUUUAUGCGUAAGUAAAUCUGAAAUAAUGACAUAUUUGAAGUUAUGUGAAUCGCAGAAGUUGGAUCAGGACACAACCCUGAAUACUAUGAAAAUUGAAAUUCGUUACAAGGUGCUGAUGGCAUUCUUGACUUGGAAUAUAUAUUUAUCAUUUAUAUUCUCAAGACAACAUAGUUUUAUUGAAGUUAUUGUAUAAAAUCCUUAGUUGUAAGACAAAAUUUUAUUAUCAUGAUUGUAUACAAAAUUUUUCUUGUAAAAGAUAAAAAUCAAUUAGUUUUAUAAUAGGCAUAUUCCGCUUUACAA